UACGUAGGGCGCAAGCGUUGUCCGGAAUUAUUGGGCGUAAAGAGCUCGUAGGCGGUUUGUCGCGUCGGGAGUGAAAACCAGGUGCUUAACACCUGGCUUGCUUUCGAUACGGGCAGACUAGAGGUAUUCAGGGGAGAACGGAAUUCCUGGUGUAGCGGUGAAAUGCGCAGAUAUCAGGAGGAACACCAAUGGCGAAGGCAGCUCGCUGGGACGGUAUUGACGCUGAGACGCGAAAGCGUGGGGAGCAAACAGG
rnacentral:rRNA from 1 species